GCGGGGCGAAGUAGGACGCCUGACUCUGAAUCAGGUAAUCUUGGUUCGAAUCCAGGUCCCGCA
rnacentral:tRNA from 1 species